rnacentral:rRNA from 1 species
AUGGCGGUCACCGUCGGCUGUUCCGACGGUUCGAUUCCCAUCUCGGAAGCGCGACGCCACGCGGCGGCGCCGGCACGGCCGCGCAAUCUCCGGUUCCCCGUCACGCCCCCGCCCAGUCGUGCAGCCUCGAAGUCGCCGCCGACUAGCCAUGACGACGCGGCGGCCCGCGAGAUCCCGGUUGCUGUCGCCCUGCUACUCGCCGCCGCGGCUGCGAACGCGGCCAUCCCGCCCGCCGCGAUCGCUGCGUCAGGCGGCUCCAUGGGCGGGCGCUCCUCCUCAUCGUCUUCGUCCUCUAGCUCCUCUUCUUCAACAUCCAGCAGCUCCUCCUCCUGGUCCUCCUCAACAUCCUACAGCUCGUCCUCCUCAGGACCAUCUUGGCACGAUUCUUCGACGACUCACGAGUCGGUCGGGACGGCGGCCGCGCCACCCGUGGCAGCUGCGGGCGUCGACCCCGCCGUACUCGUGCAAGCGUGGCUGAUGCUCAUCGGCCUCAUUCUCCUGGCCGUCGCCGUGUGGCACUACACCCGGCCGAGGAGGACCGUGGUCAAGCUCCAGGUUGCAUUGCUGGGCUUGGCAAAGCCGUUUCAGAAGGAACUGAACGAGAUUGCUGAGAAGGUGGUGAGGCUUCUAACCAGCGUUGGUAUAAAGACCAUAUGUGCCUUGAACCGUCACAAUGAUUGCUGCGUCUCUUCAAGCUUAUCAGCUGAUGUCAAAGUUGGAGCGGAUUCUUGGGAGGGGCAUUUCGAUAAAAUUUCUCUGGAGGAGAGGAGCAAAUUUGAUGAAGAAACACUUUACAACUUGGAUGGAAUCAAGAGGAAGAAAGAGUACUCCAAGAAACCAGAUGGCUUCAGCAACGAAUAUAUAGUGGUAACCAUCCUAAUGGCUGCUGAUGGAGCACUGAAGUUCCCAGAAAUCAAAAGACCCGCUGAUCUGGUAGCAGUACUGGGAAAACUUAAUUCUAUACCUGCAAGCAAAAUGCGGGGCAUUAAUGUUUUAUGGACUCCUCAAGAAGAGAAUGACGUUCUUUCAGAAGGGAGGUUUCUUGCAGAUUAUCCUAAUAUGAAGCCCCUGAGUGAUUACUAG